UAUAUUUUAGUAUAAGAUGUAUAAAAGUGUCUGAUACUUUGGGUGACAGUUUGACUCUGUCGGAUAUAA
rnacentral:tRNA from 1 species